ACACACGGAUAACAUACCGAAAGGUAUGCUAAUACGAGAUAAUAUGCUUUUAUCGCAUGGUAGAAGUAUCAAAGCUUUUGCGGUACAGGAUGGACCCGCGUCUGAUUAGCUAGUUGGUGAGGUAACGGCUCACCAAGGCGACGAUCAGUAGCCGACCGGAGAGGGUGAUCGGCCACAUUGGAACUGAGACACGGUCCAAACUCGGACGGGAGGCAGCAGUGGGGAAUAUUUCAAAGGGGGCGAAAGCCUGAUGCG
rnacentral:rRNA from 1 species